GACGAACGCUGGCGGCGUGCUUAACACAUGCAAGUCGAACGGAAAGUCCCUGCUCUUGUGGGGUGCUCGUGUGGCGCACGGGUGAGUAACACGUGAAUAACCUGCCCUUGACUUUGGGAUAACUUCUCGAAAAAGGGGCUCAUACACGGUAGGAUCUCCUGCUGCAUGUUGGUGGUUGGAAAGUUUCGGCGGUUGGGGCUGGUUUCGCAGCUUAUCCGCUUUUUGGUGGGGUAUUGGAUGACCAGGGCUUGGACGGGUAGCCCACCUGAGAGGGUGACCGGCCUCCUGAGUCCUGCGAUACGGACCAGACUCCUACGGUAGGCAGUAGGGGAGAAUAUUGCACAAUGAGCGGAAGCCUGAUGCAGCAACGCCGCGUGCGUGAUGACGGCCUUUGGGUUGUAAACCGCUUUCGCCUGUGACGAAGCGUGAGUGACGGUAAUGGGUAAAGAAGCACCGGCUAACUACGUG
rnacentral:rRNA from 1 species